rnacentral:rRNA from 1 species
UACGUAGGGUGCGAGCGUUAAUCGGAAUUACUGGGCGUAAAGCGUGCGCAGGCGGUUCGCCAAGUCAGGUGUGAAAUCCCCGGGCUUAACCUGGGAAUUGCGCUUGAAACUAGCGGGCUUGAGUGUGGCAGAGGGGGGUGGAAUUCCACGUGUAGCAGUGAAAUGCGUAGAGAUGUGGAGGAACACCGAUGGCGAAGGCAGCCCCCUGGGUCAACACUGACGCUCAUGUACGAAAGCGUGGGGAGCAAACAGG